UGACAACAGAGGCACCUGGGAUUCUGUAUUAAAAAAAUAUAUAGAAAUAUUUACACUUUAUCAUUUGCUUAGAUUUGACUCAAUCUCUAAUAAAUUAUAUUAUAAAUUAGCUACAUAUGUAAGCUUGACUAAUUGCUAAUUUCCAAUGAUACGUUUAUCAGUUACGCAACUUUAUGGAUCUCAAUAAUAUGCGAAAAAGUAUGACGUUGUAGAAUUAGUCUUAAGAAGUCUGCACGAUGAAGCUGAUAUUCGUUUUAAUUUGCACUUUGUACUUGGAGUUUGCAAUCGCGGAAGAAUUCUUGAGUUAUUUUGAUAAAAUGUGUUCAACUGAUAUUCAGCCCGGAAAAUGUGGAAAACGAAAUUCAUAUUACUUCAACAAAGAAAAGCAAAGGUGUGUAAAAGCUAAACCGGAUAAUCGCUGUGGACCUUUUACAAUUCGAAGAAGAUGCCAAAAAAUUUGCAAUUGCCUUCGUAAAAAAUGUUCAAUUAAAAACUGUAGAUAAUUAUAUAUUUUAAUAUA